rnacentral:pre_miRNA from 1 species
CAACUACUCCCUCUGUCCCAAAUUUCUUGUCUUAGAUUUGUCUAGAUACGGAUGUAUCUAAUACUAAAACAUGACUUGAUACAUCCGUAUCUAGACAAAUCUAAGACAAGAAUUUUGGGACGGAGGGAGUACUUU